rnacentral:lncRNA from 1 species
AAAAAAAGCCACCACGAGUUGCGAAAAAAAUAUGUUUCAUUUCAAAAUUCGUUUGAAAACUAUAUUUUGUGUGAAAUGGUUAGCUCUGUUCCGGUGUUGGAUUAUUCGAUCGCGAAGUGGCUGUUGCAAAUUCACCCGUUUGCCGUUGCAGUAUCCACCAAACAAUGGAAUUUACUACAAAUUGGCGUCGGAUGGCAUGCGGGAUUGCGAAAAUGAAUCUAAAAUGUAAGUUGAACCUCCCAUUGCACCAGACCGUCGAAGUAACACGUAUUCCGGUAAGCUAGUGCCUUUUAACUCUGUCAAGGAUGAUGGAACUUGCAUGGAUUUAACGUUCCUGUUUCCAAUUCGUUUUCCACCGGAGUCGCAGCGCAACUGCAGUACGAGAUCUCUGAAGAAAGGCUGGAUAAUUUCUGGAUCGACAGCAUGUUUCCUUUGGUCCAUGUUCGAAUCAAUGUCUAGUAAAAAUGAAAAUCUAUGCAAACAGACAAUAUGAUAAGAAUAAUUAUUGAAUUGAUCAAUUAUAUACCAUUGAAUAAAUAAAUAGUUAAAUUUGCCA